rnacentral:rRNA from 1 species
AUUGAACGCUGGCGGCAGGCCUACCACAUGCAAGUCGAGCGGUAGCACAGAGAGCUUGCUCUCGGGUGACGAGCGGCGGACGGGUGAGUAAUGUCUGGGAAACUGCCUGAUGGAGGGGGAUAACUACUGGAAACGGUAGCUAAUACCGCAUAACGUCGCAAGACCAAAGUGGGGGACCUUCGGGCCUCAUGCCAUCAGAUGUGCCCAGAUGGUAUUAGCUAGUAGGUGGGGUAACGGCUUACCUAGCCGACUAUCCCUACGUGGUCUGAGAGGAUGACCAACCACGCUGAAACUGAGAAAGGAUCCAAAUUCCUAAGUGCUGAACCACCGGGGAUUUUUCUACAAUGAACAUGGGUUCAAAACCUCAAAACCCCUUCUCAACUAAAGAAAGGGGGGUUUAGGGCGCCUUUUCCCUGUUGGGUAUGUCCCCUCUGUGGGGCACCCUAAUAACUCGUGUUCAGUCUCUAAACGA